AUGGUUGGACAAUGUUCUCGAAGCUAUGAACAUGAGUUUGACCAAACUGCGGGAGGCAGUGGAAGACAGGAGUGCCUGGCACUGUGGUAUGGAAAUCAGGAGCAAUAGUUUCUAGCUGUUUAAUCUGCAUCGGUGAGUUGCAGUUGUCAGCUAUUUAACUGCCCACUAUAGCUAUGCCUAUAACAUCAGCUUGAUGUGCAGACAUCAGCUGAUAAGUGUUGAUGCUGUGAAAAGCUUAACAAUUUCUGUACAUCAAACUGCUGCAGGGGGCACAAGACAAUUUUAGCUUUGAUAAGGUUAUGAAGAAUAUGCAGCCUGUUCUUGGUGGCGUCUGUGGCAAGACUUCUGGGCUUUUCUAAUACUGCAGGAUUUGUUUGUGCUUUCCUUGCAACAGGUUUUCUAGCACAUUCAAGCUAGAUAUAAACCCCUUUGGGAAAGCAACAGUGAAUUGAUGCAGCGGCUACACAGGGGUGCGGGGAACCGAUCUUUUUCGUUUAGUGAGAAUUGAUCGCCGGUAUUUAGCUGCGAAAGGCGUGUGCUUUCGGGAGGCGUCUGUGGAAAAUGUGACAGUGAAGAGACCCUGACUCCGCUCAAGACGACUGCAACCGUUGAAUUGGAGGGGAGGGCGAGAUGGGCUGAGGAGUGGGCAGAGCUCACAGGCGCGAUGGCUGCAGCCUGCUGCGCCCACCCACGGUGAGUGACAGGUGACAGGCAGAGCCCCUAUAUAUGCUGCCGAGGGCACCCGUGCACAAUCCUCGCUGCCAUGGAAGACACGUUCAACCCGGACAGCCUUGCCGUCGGACCCAACUUAUCCGGCAUUGCGAUUCCCGGGUGGAACUUGAACCUUUCGUCCCCCGGGGCUACUCUGGGGCAGCCUAGCGCGCGGACCCUGUCGGCGGGCGCGAUCCUGCUGCUGGCGCUGGUGGGCAACGGCUUGCUCUUGCACCGGCUGCGCUGCGGAGGGUGUUGCUGCGGGGCCCGCUUCGGACGGCGGCGCAAGAUGGAUUUCCUGCUGGCGCACUUGGCCAUCGCCGACCUCUACGGGUGCGGGCUGGUGCUGCUCUCCCAGCUUCCGCCGGCCGACGUGGAGCCGGGGCAAGCGGCGUGGCCUGCAGGGGACGCCACUUGCCGCCUGCUGUGGCUCCUGCAAGGCUCCGGGCUGCUGGCGCCCUCGCACAUGCUCGUCCUGAUCGCGAUCGAGCGACACCACAUGGUGAGGGGCCCCGCGCACCCGCCGCUCUCUUUCCUGCCUGCCCGGGGCGCUUUGGCUGCGCUGGGCUGGCUGCUGGCGCUGCUGCUCGCCUUGCCGCAAGCCUUCGUCUAUCGGCUGGCGCCUCCCGAGGCCGGGGGCCGUUGCCUCAGCAUCUUCGCGCAGCGGCCCCGCUGGCACGGCCAGACCUACGCCGUGUACUGGGCCGUCGCGGGCUUCGUGGCGCCCGCCUGCCUGCUGGGCGGGACCUGCGGCCGCAUCCUCAGCGCGCUCGGCGGCGCACCCGGCGCCAAGGACGACUACGACGACGCCGAGCCGUCGCGGGGGGCAGCGGGCAGCGGCCGCCACUACGGCGCGGAGCUUCCCGGCGCCUCCGCCGCUCCUCGCCCGCCUCCGCCGCUCUUGCUGCGGCUCCUGCCCGUCGCCAAGUGCGCGCUGCCCUCGCCGCCCGCGCCGCGGAGCCUGCCCCGCGCGCGGGCCCGGGCGGUGCAGCUGACGCUGGCGCUGGCCACGCUGUUCGCGCUCUGCGGCUUCCCGCGCUUUCUCCUGGAGCUCGCCUUGGCCUUCGCCUCCUCCGAGGGCGCCGACGAAGCGCGGGCGGCCCUGGGGAGCAUCAUGGCGGCCACCAACAGCGCCCUCAACCCCUACGUGUGCCUCUUGUUCCACAGCCACGGCCCGUGGGCGCGGCGCCUCCAGCGCAGGCUGUGCCGCUGCCCCGACGGGCAGCCCCGACGGCGGGCUCGCCACCGACAUCGCCCGCCGCCGCCGCAAGCGGCUGCCGAGCGCCCUGGACGCUGGCUGUGCCCUUGCCAGACCAAGCCGCCCACCGUCUCCACGGUCGUCCACCUCGAGGAGGGUGAGAAGCCGUUGUCCGCCGCUUGCGAAAGCGGCUUCUAAACAGUUUCUUGUGUGAUUGCAGGCACCGAACUUUUUUUGCAGUAUCCCCAGGACAUUGUCAACAAGUAUUUUUGACUCAUUUAACCCGGAUAUUCCUGGGGAAAUCCGACGUUUAACACCUACACACUCCACGACCUCUGUUAUCGCAAUCUCAGCAGCCGAUUUGCCAUAUCUGGCCUGGGAAGUACCCAAGGAGGAAGACAAAAAGGCAAAAGAGAACUAACAAAUUAUUAUAACACCCACCUCAAGCACACUAGGUGCUCUUUUCCUGUGGGCUGCUCACUUGCUCAAAUCUGGGAGACUCCCAUCUUAACACCGGAAGUCUGAGGGCUACUGCCUACUCCAGUGUGGAAAACGCACUCUGCACUUGCUCAAGAACCUUAAUUAAUACUUCACACUUCACAGCGCUGACCCAUUGCUGAAAUUUGGCUGUGAAUCUGGAGCCCUUGUGACCCUUGGUUAGUUUAAUCGAUUAUGAAGCCAUGACCCUCUUUCAAAUCAAGGAAACCCAGAAGGGCCAGGAGAUUCCACUUGACCAUUUCAGAUCUGGCUGCUAUUUUAAGCCCUUGCUGGGAAUGUAGGGACUUGUUUCCAAGUAAAUGGGCUUAGCUUGGACAUAGUAACAGCCAAAUGUUUUAAACUUCCUAAAGUUUUGUUCAAUUCAUUGCACUCCAUAACUUAUGACGGGACUUGCACAAUGUGGUUUUAGCACAAUCAUUUUGUUAGGUUUGUCAACAACGGGGUUCUGCAUAAUCUGUUGCUUUCACCCAUCACAGCAAUUUUCAGGAAGGAAGAACCAGGAGAGAACAUAUGGAGAAUGAGAGCACAGGAAGGACGGUGAUUUAAAAAUACAAACUUCAAGAAGAGAGAGGGGGGAAUUAAGACAGUUGGAACAAGAAGGUAGGGGCUGAGAUUUGUUUAAGAGACUGUGUGACUCAUUCAUUAGUAAUGUUAAACUAAAGUCUCUAGUUAGAAUAUAGGGUUUGAACUGAAAGUACUAUUUUCCAGCAGUGUAGAAAUCCCCAACUUCUUGGCGACCUUUCAGUGAUUCCUUCAUAAGAGCUCACCUAUUCAGAAGGCUUUGCCCUCACCUCUGAAUUGACCCAAUUUUCCUUCCGUAAUACAGUACUGUCAUGUCAAAUACAGUUAACUAUGAAGCAUGGCCAUCUUAUCAUGUUCACAGUGUGAUUCCCAAUUGGUUGGGAUCGCCCAUGUGACCGGUCUAGGAAGUAUCAUCCUCACACUCAUUAAUUUUAUGCUGCUGCACUUCCAUAAAACUGUACCAUGUGCCUUCAGACAAUGCCAGGGCAAGCAAAUUAGCUUUGUUUCUCUCAGUAAAAUCAAAUUGGCUAUGCAAUAUUACAAGAUCCUAUUUACUAAAUGACCCCUAGACAACUGAAUACAUUUUUGUUCCAAUGAACUUUCCCAGUUGGAUAAAUUGUUCUUUACUGUGGGUGUCUACUUUGCUAGGGUUUCAGUACUGUCUUUAUGUAUUUGCUGUUUUGGUGUUUUUAAGUGUUGUUAAUACUCUUAUGUGUAAAUGGUUGUUCAGAAGGCAAUGAAUAAAUCAAAGAUGAUGACGAUAAUAGGUGGGAUAACUCAUGUCACUGAUCCAGGUAGCAAUGAUCCCAGUUUCACAUUGAUUUCUUGUCCUCAGCGAUGUCACAUAGCUAAAUCUAACAAGUUUCUUAGUGCCUUGACAACAUUCAGGUCACUAUGUGGCCUGUGAUUAGUCUAGGAUUGCCUGUGUGAUUAAGUCUAGGAAGAAGAAGCAAUACUCAGAAAUUUGGUGGGAAGGAAAUCAAGCUGCAGCAGACAGAACAACCAACAGCAACAAACAUGACUGUAAAAAGGCAAAUAUUCCCACAAUU